GCCCCCUUAGCUCAGUGGUAGAGCACUUCCAUGGUAAGGAAGGGGUCCGCGGUUCGAAUCCGCGAGGGGGCU
rnacentral:tRNA from 1 species